CAGGCAGCUAAGGCGCUUAGGAGCCAGCCAGGCAUUACAGUAUGAGAAGAGGCCUAACCUCGAGGAUCGUAGGGAGGACUGCGAGGGAGUGCUUGGGGCUGGACGCACUUCCAGAGAUCCUUUGCCAAGCUGAAACGAAGAUACAUUCAGGAGCACUUGUUACUAACGGAGACUCUCCCUGUAUUUGGGAGCUAAGGCUGCCUCUCCCUCCGUCCUAAUCCACACCUCCUGAAGACGCCAAUGAAUUAAACACUGUGCUCCACGACAUUUUGAGAAAUAUAUGGUAUACCUCAAACUUCAAUAGGAAUUAUUUUGGCAUUAUCUAUGAUUUUGACUUUGAUACAUUUGGUUUUAUCAAUUUACCCUCCUUGUUAUCGAAAACACCCAAGGUUAAAUUUUAGGGACAAUUUAGCCCUGACCCAGGUUAUAUGGUUAUAUAUGGGGGGCACUCUUUAGUAACCAGGAAGAGUGCUGCUGCCCUUUAGAAUGGGCAGAACCAGAGCAAUCCAGAGCGCACAGAUCUCUCUUUUGGGGCUAACAAAAACACACUGGAAAUUUUACAAGAACUGACUUUUCUGUGAAGUUUCCAGAACUUUCACCUACUACGUGGUCUGGGACCGACAACCCACAUCCAUCAGUAUGGCCCGUUCCAGCUGGGAGCAGGGAGCUCAGAGGUGCCAAUCGUCAGCGAGGGAUGAGGCGGGCCAGGCGUCCGGGCCCUGGAGCCAUGAAGUCCAGGCACUGUCCCCAUUUGGCAUUGACUCACUCUUCUGGACAGGAAAAGCUACGGUGGACUGCGUCUCUGAGGAUUUUGUUGGGGUCAGCUCCUGAGGACCUGUACACUGCCUUUGCAGGGAGCCAUGGCUGCUCAUCCUCCUCCCAGGAGGAGUGUUUGGGAAUGUGUGGGGAGUGUUCUUGAUUUUCCUAAAGUCUGGGGAGUGCUUGCCCUGCUGAAAGUGCCAAUAUGUCCCAUGGGGAGAGGCCAGAUAGUGCCUGCUACUGCAUUCAGCGGGAGUCAAGGCUACAGCAGGAGGGUACAAAAGAGAUAGAAUCCCUGAUUUGUGCUCUGAAUGUGGCUAUAAGCCUAAUGCAGAGGAAUGAUGGCUGAAGAGUGCUUGGAAGCCUCACACAGUGUCUGCAGAGAUGCUGCUGUGGACAGAGCCUUGGAGUGGGCGUGAGGGACUAUAUUCCAGUCAGGGCUCAUUAGCUCUCUGAGCAUCUUGGUCAAGGUGCUUACCUCUCUGGGUCUCAAUGACUUCUGUAAAGCCAGAGGGCUGGCCCAGAUGCUCCUGAAACCCUACCCUUUGUAAUCUCUAAAUGGAGACCAACAGAGUGUCCAGAGUUCCUCUUAGUGGGACAGGUGGGCAGGUGUGGUUUCCUGAGGAGCUGACUCUGAGUGAGUCUCUAGGGGACAGCACAUUCCAGGCAGGGAUGGGCCAUGAGAAUGGUGAUGGCUGUGCCCUGUGGUCAGCGGAGGACUGGACCUCAGAAGGUGUUGACAGCAGCCCACCAUUUGCAUGCAGUGAUUCCCAGCUUGUGUGAACGGAGAUAGGGGCCCUAUAAGGAAAUCUACUGGUGGGUGUCACUGGCCUGAGCUCUGCUGUUGAUUCCUCUGAUGGUUUGUGGAAGGGCUGAGAAAACUGGAUCCCACCAAAGGAGAGAUAGAUGCUCAUGAACUGUGCUUUGCUUUAUGUACACACAUAGUGUGAUGGUUAAUUUUAUGUAUUGGUGUGACUAGACCACGGCGCCCAAAUAGUUGGUCAAAUAUUAUUGUGUGUAUUUCUGUGUUUUGGGGUGAGAUAAACAUUUGAAUCCUUUGAGUAAAGCAGACUGCCCUCCAAUCAGUCAUUAGGGUGGGCCUCAUCCAAUCAGUAGAAGGCCUGAAUAAAACAAAAGGCUGUUGUUCAUAGAGUAAGAGAUAAUUCUCCUGCCUUGUGGCCUUUGAACUAGGAUAUCACCUCUUCCUGCUUCCACAUCAGUUUCUGGGCUUUGGAUUUGAACUGGGACAUCAGCUAUCAGCUCUGCAGAUUUUGGACUUGCCAGUUUCUACAACAUG